rnacentral:misc_RNA from 1 species
GAUGAAGAACGUAGCGAAAUGCGAUAAGUAAUGUGAAUUGCAGAAUUCAGUGAAUCAUCGAAUCUUUGAACGCACAUUGCGCCCCUUGGUAUUCCGAGGGGCAUGCCUGUCCGAGCGUCAUUGCUGCCCUCAAGCACGGCUUGUGUGUUGGGCCCCGUCCUCCGAUCCCGGGGGACGGGCCCGAAAGGCAGCGGCGGCACCGCGUCCGGUCCUCGAGCGUAUGGGGCUUUGUCACCCGCUCUGUAGGCCCGGCCGGCGCUUGCCGAUCAACCCAAAUUUUUAUCCAGGUUGACCUCGGAUCAGGUAGGGAUACCCGCUGAACUUAAGCAUAUCAAUAAGCGGAGGA